CUUCCGGUCAGUGAGGAAGCUAAACCUCAUCGACCGGAAGGCAUCCCUUCCGGUCAAUGAGGUUUAGCUUCCUCAUCGACCGGAGG
rnacentral:miRNA from 1 species